UACGUAGGGGGCAAGCGUUGUCCGGAUUUAUUGGGCGUAAAGAGCGUGUAGGCGGCCAGAUAGGUCUGUUGUGAAAACUCGAGGCUCAACCUCGAGACGCCGAUGGAAACCAUCUGGCUAGAGUCCGGAAGAGGAGAGUGGAACUCCUGGUGUAGCGGUGGAAUGCGCAGAUAUCAGGAAGAACACCAACGGCGAAGGCAGCUCGCUGGGACGGUACUGACGCUGAGACGCGAAAGCGUGGGGAGCGAACAGG
rnacentral:rRNA from 1 species